AUGCUGAAACGGCAUCCCACAUACAAAAUAGGGGAAGAUUGGCAUAGAUGUUGGCUCAGUGACAAUUUUCCUCACCAAAAAAAAAAAAUACUACAGUCUCAGUUGCCUUGUGUGCAACUGAAAAUGACUUGCAGUGGAUGGGCGAUGACAAUUCCUACACCACAUGUGCAGAGUCUCUCCUCCCAGCCAGCAAGAAGACAGGACACAGGAUGCAGAGACAUGCCACCGGUUCCAGCUUGGUGGCAUUGCGUCCUGUGUAUGUCACGGCCCUGCCAUCCACUCCUUCUCCAGAAACCAUGCCCACCCACCAAACUUCAUGCACCUGUCAAGACUCUUCCCCCUGACUUCUUCAGCUUAGAUCUCAGAAGGACAAGAGCAUCGUCCCCGUGGAAACUGCUGGCUGACAUCAUCUGCACCUAGUGAUGGAAGUCCACACCAUGUGCCCAAUGACACGGGGCGCAUGGGGAACAUUCCUGCCAGCAGUGCUUCAACGGAACCUAAUUUUGAGGACACGUCAGACAGCCCUGAAUCCAGAUAUCCAACCAAACAACUGUCCUGUGAUCUUCCAAACCCUCGGGGCCACAAAAGACAGGGCAAGGCUCAGGAGCUGUUCCAGCUCAAGGCUGCUGAUAGAGAUGGGACAAGGCAACACAGGACCGCAGGCUGAACCUGGGCC
rnacentral:lncRNA from 1 species